rnacentral:rRNA from 1 species
AACGAACGCUGGCGGCAGGCUUAACACAUGCAAGUCGAACGCCCCGCAAGGGGAGUGGCAGACGGGUGAGUAACGCGUGGGAAUCUACCCAGUUCUACGGAACAACUGAGGGAAACUUCAGCUAAUACCGUAUACGCCCUACGGGGGAAAGAUUUAUCGGAAUUGGAUGAGCCCGCGUUGGAUUAGCGAGUUGGUGAGGUAACGGCUCACCAAGGCGACGAUCCAUAGCUGGUCUGAGAGGAUGAUCAGCCACACUGGGACUGAGACACGGCCCAGACUCCUACGGGAGGCAGCAGGGGGGAAUAUUGGACAAUGGGCGCAAGCCUGAUCCAGCCAUGCCGCGUGAGUGAUGAAGGCCUUAGGGUUGUAAAGCUCUUUCAGUGGGGACGAUAAUGUCGGUACCCACAGAAGAAGCCCCGGCUAACUUCGCGCCAGCAGCCGCAGUAAGAC